AACGAACGCUGGCGGCAUGCCUAACACAUGCAAGUCGAACGAGACCUUCGGGUCUAGUGGCGCACGGGUGCGUAACGCGUGGGAACCUGCCCUUAGGUUCGGAAUAACUCCCCGAAAGGGGUGCUAAUACCGGAUAAUGUCCUCGGACCAAAGAUUUAUCGCCUUUGGAUGGGCCGGCGUUGGAUUAGCUAGUUGGUAGGGUAAAGGCCUACCAAGGCGACGAUCCAUAGCUGGUCUGCGAGGAUGAUCAGCCACACUGGGACUGAGACACGGCCCAGACUCCUACGGGAGGCAGCAGUGGGGAGUAUUGGACAAUGGGCGAAAGCCUGAUCCAGCAAUGCCGCGUGAGUGAUGAAGGCCUUAGGGUUGUAAAGCUCUUUUACCCGGGAUGAUAAUGACAGUACCGGGAGAAUAAGCACCGGCUAACUCCGUG
rnacentral:rRNA from 1 species